AAUUAAAUAAUUCCCCACAACUAAUUUAUCGGCCCAAGGAUUUAAUUAAUUUGGCCCAAGAAUUAAAAGUGACCCACAACAACUCAUGCCCAAAACAAUUAAAGUGUUGACCCAAAAAGAAAUAAAAGAACUUUAUACUCCCACCUUUAAACACACGUACACCAUGAUUCAUCACAAACCACUUUGUAAAGUAAAAAAAAAAGGAAUAUUAAAAGAAUAAAACAAUUUAGGAAUCCAUUACUCCCAUUCCCAAUUCAUCGUGUAUUCUCUCCCCCUCCUUUCUCAAAACAGAAUACGCCAAGAUUUUUCAAGAAUCCCCAAAUCCUCUCUCAUUUCUUUCCCAAGUUAAGCUUAAACAUAUAGACAAAAUGAAUAGGAAAUAAAAGCUCCGUCGCCCUCAAGCUCUCGCCGACCCUUCUCUCUCACCACAUCUAAAACGAGAUUUCCAAUUUUCCUGCUGCGGAUCGCCGUCGCACUGCACCAAUCGACCGGUCACUGCCGCUACUUCCUUCGUCGGCCCACUGGGCGGCCUCGGUCCUCCCCGAUUAGCCCCGUUUCCCAAUUAAAGAUUUCAUGAUAUGCACAAGAAUGGAAUAGGAAUGGGGUGGAAGAAGUGUAUACCUUUGUUGCAAAGAGUUGCAGGAAAACAAUUUGGGGACUCUCGGCUCUCUUACUCGAACUAUUUCUUCUCAACUGUGAUUUCAAGAAUUGGUAUCAUGGAAUUAAAAUAUGGAGGUUCGUAUUCAUGGGAUUGUGAAGAAAUUACCUUUGUUGGAUAGACAACCACAUAUCAAACUGGAGUCUCGGUUUCUCUCUAUUUUUUUCAGAUUUUUUUAUAGAAUGAGGAAACUGAUUUGUGAAGGGAAUAUUAUAGAGAGGAGGUGGUUGAUAGAUAUGGGAGAGAUUCAUGGAAGAGAGGAGCGGUUUUUCUAACGUGGGCUGAGGAGGUGUGAUUUUCGAAUCAAUCUUUUUUUUUGGGAUCAACUUAGAAUUUAUUUGUUAUUUAUUUGCAGAUCACGGAGGAGGAUAAUCUCUAUAGAAUCUUUAUUUAAUAUUUCAGCUUCUUAAAAAAAAAAAAAUUCCAUAGGCUCUCAAAAUAAAACGGAACGAUAGUUGGCUAAAAAAAA